UACAUAUCGUCCCAGGCCAGCUGAGUUGAAUGAGGCUGAUUCAGAGGAGAGGCGCAAAAGUCCGAACCAAGUGGAACAUUGUAGCCCAAAUACGCCUACAUUUGAAUACAACAUCUACUUGUCCGGCUUUCACUUUCAGAAUUUGAAUGGAUUAUACUUGUGUAUUGAGGUUGUGUAAAUUAAUUCCAAAAGAAAGGCAUCAACCUGAGGUUAUUUUGAGGAUGGACUAGCCGACUCCGAGUCAUGCAGGUCACCGAAAACAGCGGCGCCUGGAACGCCUGCGACUACAGCCACGACGUGGCCUUCUUCUACAAGCUGGUGGACAAGCGGAUCAGCAAGUCGUGGACGCAGCGCGACCACCUGGUGAUCGGCCUGGGCCUCAGCGUGUGCCUGGUCGUGGUCCUCUCCAACCUCAUGGUUAUGGUGGCAAUAUUCAUCAACCGCCGCUUCCACUUCCCCAUCUACUACCUGCUGGCCAACAUGGCAGCUGCCGACCUGUUUGCGGGUGUGGCCUACGCCAACCUCAUGCUCAACACGGGCCCUUGGACCGCGCUUCUCAGCAAGGAGAAGUGGUUCCUGCGCAGCGCGCUGGUGGACAUUAGCCUCACGGCCUCGGUGGCCAACCUGCUGGCGGUUGCGGUGGAGCGGCACCAGACGGUGGUGGCCAUGCAGCUGCACAGCCGCAUGAGCAAGCGGCGCGUUGUGCUGCUCAUCGUGUGCAUCUGGGCGGCGGCGGGCGCCAUGGGCCUGGUGCCCUCCAUGCUGUGGAACUGCGAGUGCGACCUGGCCAGCUGCUCCACCAUCGCGCCGCUAUACAGCCGCCGCUUCCUGGUGUUCUGGGCGGCGUUCAACCUGCUGGCCUUCGGGGUCAUGGCGGCGGUGUACGGGCGCAUCUUCGUGUACGUUCGGCGCCAGAGCCGCGGCGUCUCGCGCCACACAUCCGACGCGGCGCAGGGCCAGCGCAUGGUGGUGAAUCUGAUGAAGACCAUCGCCAUGGUCCUGGUGGCCUUUGUAAUCUGCUGGACCCCCGGGCUAUUGACCCUAUUGCUGGAAGGGCUGCUGGGAAAGGACAGCCAUGCCCACGCCUAUGAAAAGUACUGCCUAGUUAUCGCUGAGUGCAACUCUCUGGUCAAUCCCAUCAUCUACUCCCUUCGCGACGAGGAGAUGCGAAGCACCUUCAAGUGGAUUCUUUGCGGCCGACGGGACGGCCGCGCCUGCACCGCGAUGGCGGUGGCGCCCCCUGCUGUCCAGUACUGCGCACCGCAGCUAGAGGUAGCCUCGAAUAGUAUGAUAUAAUCCUCCAUACGUUUUGAAUUCGCCACCUGAAAAUAAAUGCUUGCUUUCCUUUAGUCUUAGUUUGCUUGAACAGUUCCGUUAUUAUUUCACCUUUUGAACAGGGGAUCGUUCAGGAAAUUAUCUCUUUUAUUUUCCUCCGAAAUCAUAAAAGCAAGCUAUAAACGUUACUCCUCUCUGCCUUUGUGGGUGAGUCACUGGGCUACUCAUUACGUCCACCGUCGGGUUUCUUAAGGCUCCAGAGACCGGGAACUGUCGUGUUUUGACUUGCCUGGCACCGGUGCAUUCCUCCCCCUCCUCAAUUCCUUCCUUCCCUUAAUCUAGUUCUCUCGGAAUACAAUCCUCCCGAAUUCAAUGAUUGGGCUAUCAAAGCAGACAGAGGGACCAUGGUUAAUGUUCCAUAGAUUCCCUGGAAUUUUUAAAUCAGGCCUCCAGCCCUGAACCAUGCGUGGGAUGAGCAGGACUAUUCUCAACAAGCAACGGGAGAUAAUGAAAUGCUUCCAAUUCCAGGCUUACUCAACAGUAACUAACAGGGCAGCACACGUAGAUGGGAGUCAUGACAAAGCUCUAAUUGCAAGAAAAAAUGGUGCCCCUAGUUUAAACGGUCGUGUCAGUCGAAAAGUUGGACGACCGGGUCUUGGAGCCUUCUAAAGCGGAGGAUCACUGCCAGCUUCUGGAGAAGCCCGAAUUACAGAUCCCACAGUAAACGGACUGACUUUUGAGAGACCAAUUACUUUUAAACCUUGUGGUUAAACUUUUAUAUCGAACCACGCUGGGUUAUGAGUCUUUUGGACAUGACUCGUACUGAUGUACGGCGUCUGCCAUGAAUGUUAUUUUAUGAGUAACUUAUUAAAAAUGCAUAUGAGGGUAAUGGAUAUGUAUCUAAUCUUACUUUAAUUAUUUUUAGCACUGUUUUGUUUAAUGGGUGUCGGGCCAUCAUGCGAUGUCGAAAUACCAAUUCAGACAUAACUUUAUUUCCCAAUUAAUAUUAAACACUCGUGUUGUGCUUAACAGCCAAAGGACAAUUAAAGAGCAAAGUCCUAUUACUCGGCAUUAACAGCCACUCAACCCUACCAAGCAGGUACAAAACUGUUUUUUCAUUGCUGAAAGAGCCCGGAGAUUCAGAGGAAAACCUGACAUGACCACUCCUGAAGGGGGUUCGAUGAUUUAUUCUCCUUUUUAAUAUAAGCCAUUGGUGCUAACCGUUUUGUUUCAUGAUUACCUUUUUGAUUAUGAACGCAUUUGCAAUAAUUCAAUGGAAACACUCAAAAGGACAACGACUGAAAACCACACUAAAUUGUUUUAUUAGUUUUCUAAUAAGAACACUACAAUUUUUAUCAUAUUCCUUUUGUUUCACUCGUUCUAGAACAAUUCUAAAGUUGAGGUAUAAAAGGAGUUCAUACAGACUCGCAGGUCUGAAAACUGGGGAUUAUAUACAAGAGAAAUGGAAAGACAAGAGGUAGAGAGGGCUAAAUACAAGGGGAAGUGAGUAAGCGGGAGAGAUAGAAAAUAUACUAAUUAAAAACAAAGUCCGCCAAAACGGGUUAAAGAACUUCUCUGGUGCUGUGGAAGUAUUGUCGCUAAAGCGGAACCAGAUUUAGUCUCCCAUCCCAGCUUCUGGUUAGGUGUUCGGUCAGAGUCCUUUGGAUUUGCUUGCUGGUUAGCACGGUGGUGGCUAUGCUUAUGAGGCCCAGUCCAUUAGCCUAUUAGCCUAAACUGCUAGGCUCCGAAAGAUCUCGGCCUGAACAUUGUAAAUAAACUAUUGCCUAGUGUGGUCCAAACCGUGACAUGUAUACUAUGUACCUUUCAACGCUCACUAUGGUGUUUUGUCAGAACCACAACAUUGGCAAGUAUACUUAAGGAACUUGUAAACUUUUGCAUUCACUCUAAACUGUAGUAACAAAAGGUUUCUCUAGGAUAAACCAAUUAGUGUCAUCUUCAAUCAAGUUCGACACAACCAACACCUGUAGGAAUCUAGUUUUUCCACAGCACCAGAUUACCUUUAUACCUGUAAAACCCUACAACAGCAUCCAGGUAUGUAACAAAGACUCAAAUUAUGAUACUUAAGAGAAAUACCAGCGUAAUUGUGGCCCCUGCAUCACAAUAAAGGCCAAACCACCACAGGCUUCACCCAAUCAAAACAUCCCAAAGGUUUAUAAAAAAAAAAAUAAAGGAAAAAACAUUCCACAAACUGUACAGUGACAUCCAUUACAACUGGUAGAAAAAAGGGGUAUACGCUAGUUUUGGUGUUGUGGUAACAUUAUUCGUAAGAUAAAGUCAUAUGAAAUGUACAUAGUAACAGUAAACGGGUACUUUUAAAUCAGAUUAUUACUCUCGAGGCUUAGGAGCUCAAGUUUAUUUUCUGUAACUUUGCCACAAGUCUUGUGUAUUUUUACAUUUCGGUAUCCAUAAGGCCUUAUCUUACUAUCAAAAUCCUUUGCGCUUCGCUUAUCUGUUGUACAUAAAGAAAAAGACAAACGUUCACAGGAUGUGAAUUCCAACCUUCCCCCGCAAAAGAAAACAACCUAUAAACAAAAACACUUGCAUUUGUCCGGUGCGUCUUUCACCCCUGACGAGAGUUAUUGUACACCCAGUGCUGCCUGUUUUGGUGACCGAGGAGAGAAAGCCCUUGCCAACCGGCCAAAUCAAAAACCAAAGAUCAGUAAAAAUAAAGAAAAAAAGACAAACAUUGGUACGUUAUUCUUGUAGUCGUAAGACGAACACAAACAGAACAUUCCGAAUCAAAAAGCGGGUGAUCGACUGUACAGGAUACAAUCAAAUUCACGGGUGUGAUACGAUGCCGCAUAGAUGGUAAGACCGAGCCCUACCGUGGAGGCAACAGAGACAGUUUGAAAGAAAAAUAAAUCCCUCCUCUCCUCAAAACAAAAAGGAAAUAAAAAGGUGUCUGCCCACCGACGCGAGCAAGAGUUUCAUCAUAGCAUCGUCUAUUGUGGAGGCUUUUUUUUUUUUUUUUUGGUUUCGGUACGAUAGGAAGUGGUGUGUUGCCUUGGGCCAGUGAACGCACAUGGUUUUUCAAGUGAGUAGGAGUUCCCCCGUUAUGGGCUGCUUACCCAAGUACCCCCGUCGUGUGAAUGGUUUAGAAUUACAGCAAGGCCAAAGCCGGUCUCACUGAGGAGUGUCCAAGGAACGGCACACUCCUUUUUUGGUCUGUCUGAUAACAUUAAACCCUUUCUUUUUUUUCUUUUUUGUUAAUAAAAAGUGAAGCUACAAACUUGAAGAUUAAAUGAAAACGAUAAUAAACACACCUAAAAAAAAAAAAAGAAAAGAAAAAAUCCUACAUGCAUGGAA